rfam:Bacteria symbiont BFo1 of Frankliniella occidentalis strain BFo1 contig230, whole genome shotgun sequence.
AUAGAGCAACAAACUCUAUACAGUUUUAGUGGGCCCCGUUAGUCUUCUCCUUAGUCGCCAAACCGAGGAAGAUUAUCGGGGUUUUUGCUU